UCGUAACAAGGUUUCCGUAGGUGAACCUGCGGAAGGAUCAUUAAAUAAUCAAUAAUUUUGGCUCGUCCAUUAUUAUCUAUUUACUGUGAACUGUAUUAUUACUUGACGCUUGAGGGAUGCUCCACUGCUAUAAGGAUAGGCGGUGGGGAUGUUAACCGAGUCAUAGUCAAGCUUAGGCUUGGUAUCCUAUUAUUAUUUACCAAAAGAAUUCAGAAUUAAUAUUGUAACAUAGACCUAAAAAAUCUAUAAAACAACUUUUAACAACGGAUCUCUUGGUUCUCGCAUCGAUGAAGAACGUAGCAAAGUGCGAUAACUAGUGUGAAUUGCAUAUUCAGUGAAUCAUCGAGUCUUUGAACGCAACUUGCGCUCAUUGGUAUUCCAAUGAGCACGCCUGUUUCAGUAUCAAAACAAACCCUCUAUCCAACAUUUUUGUUGAAUAGGAAUAUUGAGAGUCUCUUGAUCUAUUCUGAUCUCGAACCUCUUGAAAUGUACAAAGGCCUGAUCUUGUUUGAAUGCCUGAACUUUUUUUUAAUAUAAAGAGAAGCUCUUGCGGUAAACUGUGCUGGGGCCUCCCAAAUAAUACUCUUUUUAAAUUUGAUCUGAAAUCAGGCGGGAUUACCCGCUGAACUUAAGCAUAUCAAUAA
rnacentral:misc_RNA from 1 species